CCUACGGGUGGCGGCAGUGGGGAAUAUUGGACAAUGGGCGAAAGCCUGAUCCAGCCAUGCCGCGUGUGUGAAGAAGGCCUUCGGGUUGUAAAGCACUUUCAGUGGGGAAGAAAGCCUUGGGGCUAAUACCCUCGAGGAAGGACAUCACCCACAGAAGAAGCACCGGCUAACUCCGUGCCAGCAGCCGCGGUAAUACGGAGGGUGCGAGCGUUAAUCGGAAUUACUGGGCGUAAAGCGCGCGUAGGCGGUCUGAUAAGCCGGUUGUGAAAGCCCCGGGCUCAACCUGGGAACGGCAUCCGGAACUGUCAGGCUAGAGUGCAGGAGAGGAAGGUAGAAUUCCCGGUGUAGCGGUGAAAUGCGUAGAGAUCGGGAGGAAUACCAGUGGCGAAGGCGGCCUUCUGGACUGACACUGACGCUGAGGUGCGAAAGCGUGGGUAGCAAACAGGAUUAGAUACCCCAGUAGUC
rnacentral:rRNA from 1 species